CACUAAGCCAGUGGUGAACUCCACAUACGCAUCCUUUGCUGAGGAGACGGUUAACGGAGCGAAAGCGACGUUCAACCUCAAAACAAGCAGAGGGGGCUUAGUGGUGGGGUGACUGCGUACCUUUUGUAUAAUGGGUCAGCGACUUAUAUUCUGUAGCAAGGUUAACCGCAUAGGGGAGCCGCAGGGAAACCGAGUCUUAACCGGGCGUUAAGUUGCAGGGUAUAGACCCGAAACCCGGUGAUCUAGCCAUGGGCAGGUUGAAGGUUGGGUAACACUAACUGGAGGACCGAACCGACUAAUGUUGAAAAAUUAGCGGAUGACCUGUGGCUGGGGGUGAAAGGCCAAUCAAACCGGGAGAUAGCUGGUUCUCCCCGAAAGCUAUUUAGGUAGCGCCUCGUGAAUUCAUCUCCGGGGGUAGAGCACUGUUUCGGCUAGGGGGCCAUCCCGGCUUACCAACCCGAUGCAAACUGCGAAUACCGGAGAAUGUUAUCACGGGAGACACACGGCGGGUGCUAACGUCCGUCGUGAAGAGGGAAACAACCCAGACCGCCAGCUAAGGUCCCAAAGUCAUGGUUAAGUGGGAAACGAUGUGGGAAGGCCCAGACAGCCAGGAUGUUGGCUUAGAAGCAGCCAUCAUUUAAAGAAAGCGUAAUAGCUCACUGGUCGAGUCGGCCUGCGCGGAAGAUGUAACGGGGCUAAACCAUGCACCGAAGCUGCGGCAGCGAACGUAUCACCCAAGACAACUUUGCGGAGUUGACGAUUGACGGAGCGAAGCGACGUCAAAGCGUUCAUUAAAGUCGAGUUGGCUUAGGGAUACGUUCGUUGGGUAGGGGAGCGUUCUGUAAGCCUGUGAAGGUAUGCUGUGAGGCANGAUGUAACGGGGCUAAACCAUGCACCGAAGCUGCGGCAGCGACACUGUGUGUUGUUGGGUAGGGGAGCGUUCUGUAAGCCUGCGAAGGUGGCCUGUGAGGGUUGCUGGAGGUAUCAGAAGUGCGAAUGCUGACAUAAGUAACGAUAAAGCGGGUGAAAAGCCCGCUCGCCGGAAGACCAAGGGUUCCUGUCCAACGUUAAUCGGGGCAGGGUGAGUCGACCCCUAAGGCGAGGCCGAAAGGCGUAGUCGAUGGGAAACGGGUUAAUAUUCCCGUACUUGGUGUUACUGCGAAGGGGGGACGGAGAAGGCUAUGUUGGCCGGGCGACGGUUGUCCCGGUUUAAGCGUGUAGGCUGGUUUUCCAGGCAAAUCCGGAAAAUCAAGGNUAUGUUGGCCGGGCGACGGUUGUCCCGGUUUAAGCGUGUAGGUGUGUGUUCCAGGUAAAUCCGGUUCACUUUAACACUGAGGCGUGACGACGAGGCACUACGGUGCUGAAGCAACAAAUGCCCUGCUUCCAGGAAAAGCCUCUAAGCAUCAGGUAACAUCAAAUCGUACCCCAAACCGACACAGGUGGUCAGGUAGAGAAUACCAAGGCGCUUGAGAGAACUCGGGUGAAGGAACUAGGCAAAAUGGUGCCGUAACUUCGGGAGAAGGCACGCUGACACGUAGGUGAAGUGAUUUACUCAUGGAGCUGAAGUCAGUCGAAGAUACCAGCUGGCUGCAACUGUUUAUUAAAAACACAGCACUGUGCAAACACGAAAGUGGACGUAUACGGUGUGACGCCUGCCCGGUGCCGGAAGGUUAAUUGAUGGGGUCAGCGCAAGCGAAGCUCCUGAUCGAAGCCCCGGUAAACGGCGGCCGUAACUAUAACGGUCCUAAGGUAGCGAAAUUCCUUGUCGGGUAAGUUCCGACCUGCACGAAUGGCGUAAUGAUGGCCAGGCUGUCUCCACCCGAGACUCAGUGAAAUUGAACUCGCUGUGAAGAUGCAGUGUACCCGCGGCAAGACGGAAAGACCCCGUGAACCUUUACUAUAGCUUGACACUGAACAUUGAGCCUUGAUGUGUAGGAUAGGUGGGAGGCUUUGAAGUGUGGACGCCAGUCUGC
rnacentral:rRNA from 1 species